rnacentral:tRNA from 1 species
GCGCCCGGCAGGUCUCCUACUCCGUCGGUCGCAGGUUCGAAUCCUGCCGGGCGCG